rnacentral:lncRNA from 1 species
UGGAUUAGGGUUUGGAUUAGGAUUUAGAUUAGGGUUUAGGAUUUGGUUAGGAUUUGAUUUAGAAUUUAGAUUAGAGUUUGGACUAGGGUUUGGGUAGGAUUUGGUUUAAGGUUUGGUUUAGGGUUUAGGAUUUGGAUUAGAGUUUAGGGUUGGAUUAGGGUUUGGAUUAGGAUUUGGAUUAGGGUUUAGGAUUUGGUUAGGAUUUGAUUUAGGAUUUGGAUUAGAGUUUGGACUAGGGUUUGACUAGGGUUUGGUUUAAGGUUUAGGGUUGGGUUAGGGUUUGGUUUAGGAUUUGAUUUAGGAUUUGGUUUAGGAUUUAGGGUUUAAAAUAGGAUUUAAUUUAAGAUUUGUUCAGGAUUUGACUUAGGGUUUAUGAAUUAUUAGGGUUUAAGAUUUAAUUAGGUUUGGUCUAAAGUUGAGUGAAAUUCAAUAGGGUUUUAACUAGAAUUAAAUUAAGGUUGAAUUGACAUAUAUUUGAGUAAAAUUUGUGAUCAUUCUAAUAUUUCUUUAAGAAUUUUAUUAUUUGUUUGAAAUUUCUUUGAGUUGUUUUGAAUUUGAUUACGUUUGUUUAUCAUUAUUAUAGUCUAAUUAGAGCAUUGUUAGUAUUCUAUUUAGGAUUUUGUUAUCGCAAUUUCUAUUCUUCCUUCUAUAGCCAGGUGCCCGGAGCAUUCUCAAGCAAGACUUCACACAUUACGAUAGCAUAUAGACAAUGGAGGUGAGUACAUGUCUAAAUAAUUUGAUGUUUAUUUGAAGAAUGAAGGAAUUGCUAGACAAACCACAACUCUAUACACUAUACAACAAAAUGGUGUUAUUGAAAGGGCAAAUCAAACCAUUAUAGAGAUGGCAAGGAGCAUGCUUCAUACUCAAAACCUUGGCUAUGAGUUUUGAGUGGAAGCUGUGGUGAAUGCAAUGUAUACAAGAAAUAGGUGUCCAACAAGUGAUCUUGCAUCAUAGACACCACAAGAAGCUUGGAGUGGGAGACAACCUUACAUUUUCCAUAUGAGGACCUUUGGUUGCAUUGCAUAAGCAAAAAUACCAAAUUCUAUGAAGUCCAAACUUGAUGCAAAAGAUACAAAGUGUGUAUUUCUUGGUUAUUGUGAAGGUACUAAGGCAUAUAGGCUAAUGUGCUUGGAAACCAAAAAGAUCAUCAAAAGUCAUGAUGUUGAGUUUUUGAAGCACAAGAGUUCUUGUGAGCACUUAGAGAUAUGUCCAAGUGAGAGUAAUGGUGUGUUUGUGGACACAUCUUUGAAUUCAAGAAAGAAAAAAGAAGAUAAAGACAAUAAAGAUGAUGAAGAUGAAAAGCCAAAGAAGAUUGAAAAGAUGAAAGCUCCUACUAUUAAUAGGAUCAACAAUGAAAGAAAUAAAGAUGUUGAAGAUUGAGAUGAUGAUAAUGAUGAAGAGUACCAACUAUUGAGUGAGAAACGACAAGGUUUAAGAGAGAAGAAGGUUGAAAAAGAACAAAGAUUACAACAAGGUGAAUGUUCUUCUACUAGUGAAAGAAGAUAUUUUUUGAGAGAAAGAAGGCAACGUUGUCGUACUGUAAAUGCUUACAGUAUGUAAAAAUUAGUUAAAACAUAUUAUAUGUUGAUAAAUUUAGAUGUAUGUUAGAGUGGCUAGUAGAUUAAAUUAAAAGGAGUUGGAAUAAGAAACUUUACUUUGUUUCUUUAUUUCUUUUGAUUUUGACAUUAAUAUAUAUAUAUAUAUAUAGGACCUAAAUGUUUAGUAUGAAACCUUGAAAAAAGGUGGAAACCUAAGGAUGAUAAUCUAAACUAGUAGGAAGCUAAUUGGGAGGGAUGAAAGCAAGGCAUGGUCGGAUGAAGGCAAGGAAUGGAGAACUUCAUCCCUAUUGGUCGAAUACCAUGCCUAAUGGGCUUUGAGGAGGCUGCCCGCAAUCUUAAGAAAGGUUUCGACGACUUCAAAGGGAGCAUUCGGAGAUUAGAAGCUAGAGUUGUAAAGUUUAGGAUUUGGAAAACAAUUUUUGUACAAAAAUUAGAGGAUUUGGAGUUAGGAUGAAAAAGUUAUAACCGUUUGAAGUUAAGGUAUUUAUUUAAGAUAUACUGUUAUUCUUUUGAGAGUACGAGGAGUUUUACAGUAACUUUUGAAGAUUGGAAGAUGCGACUGGAACGGCGAUUUCAAGGCCUACAUCUUUCAUGAAAGAAUUAUUGCUUUUGGAGUUCAUAUGAAAGAGUUGUAAGGAAUUGAAGGCGACGCUUCCAAAUCAAAAGUAGUAAGUAAGCGGGUUUGUUUGUAGUAAUGGUUGAAGCCAUAACUUGAGUUUUCGAACGAAUUUUUGGCUCAAACUUUUUGAAGAAUGUAAAAUUUUGUGUUAAGAAGUUAUAUAUAUAAAUUUCGUGGCAUUUGAGCUUAUAUUUUGUGAGAUAUGAAGAAAAUUGCACGCGGAUGUAUAAAGACAAGGAUUUGAAGCGACUGUUAGGGAUUUCAAGAUAUCUCAAGAUUUGCAAUGAAUUUGUAGUUGAAAAUUGUUGUAGAAGUUAAUAAAAAUACAUCAGUACCUCAUGUAAAAUUUGAGUUUGUUUGGACGGUUGGAUUAAGAGAUAUGAGAUGUUGAAGUUUGGAAAAAUCUCCACAUAAGAAUAAACAAGGAUUUAGAAGAUUUUAUCAUAUUUUGGAAGUUGUGGGUUACUUGAGGAUUGUGUAUUUUGUGUAAUUACUCAAAAAAAAAAAAAUUAUAUAUAAACUUAGGGCUUCCCUUACUUUCAAGCUUGAUUGAAUAAUUAGUGACAGCCAGAAGCCCAGUGUUUUCUUGAGGCAAACUCUCUCUACCCCGACAACGUGGCGAAUGGUCGAAGGAUCACAUCUUCCCUCAAGUAAGUGAAGAACAUGCAAAUGUUGUUCUUCUUGCUGAUCCACUGUCUUUGUGUGAUGCUAUGAAGUGUGAAGAUGCAAUCAAGUCAGAGAAGGCUAUGGGAGAAGAGUACCAAUCUCUUAUAGACAAUGGCACAUGGGAAUUGGCACCUCUUCAAGCAAAUCGAUCUAGUGUUGGUUGUAAGUGGGUGUUUAGGACUAAAAGAGAUGCAAUGGAUGUGGUGGUGAGGCACAAGGCAAGAUUAAUUGCAAAAGGAUAUUCAUAAGUUGCUGGAAUUGAUUUCAAUGAGACUUAUGCACCUGUUGCUAAAUUCACCACCAUUAUGACCAUUGUAGCAAUUGGAGUAGUAAUGGAUUUAAAAAUAUACCAAAUGGAUGUGAAGACGGCCUUUUUGAAUGGAGAAUUGCAAGAAGACAUCUACAUGGACCAAUCUUAAGGAUUUGUACAACAAGGCAAAGAACAUCUUGUGUGCAAAUUGAAGAGAUCGUUGUAUGGAUUGAAACAAUCACCUAGGGCAUGGUACCAACGAAUUGACACCUUUGUCAAUAAAGGAUUUGUGAGGAGUGAAGUUGAUCAUUCAUUAUAUGUAAUGCAAUCUAGAGAGUUCUUGCUGAUUGUAAUCCUAUAUGUUGAUGAUUUGAUCAUCUAGGCUACAAUAUAGAAAAGAUGGAUUAGAUUAAAGCCAAAUUAGAGAAGGAAUAUGAGAUGAGUGAUUUGGGAGAGUUGCACUAUUACUUAGGAGUGGAAUUUGUAAGAGAUCGUGGUAACAAGACUAUUACAAUGAGCCAAACCAAGUACAUUAAAGAAGUGUUGAAACAAUUCAAUAUGGAGGAGUGCAAGCCUAUUGGAACUCCCUUAGAGAUAAAUUUAAAGUUGAUAAAGCUCACGGAUAAGGAGUUUACACAAGUUGAAGGUGAAAUGUAAAGUGUUCCAUACAAAGUAGUAAUAGGCUCACUCAUAUAUGCAAUGGUGGCCACAAGAGUGGAUCUUCCAUAUGCGGUAAGUGUUUAAGCCAAAACAUAUUUAAAGUUAGACCAAUGCAUUAAAAAAUGAAAAAGAAGAUAUUAAGGUACUUAAAAGGUACAAAAGACUUCAAAUUGUGCCUUAGUCAUAAGAACAUUGACUUGCAAGGUUAUUAAGAUGCGGAUUAAGCUGGAAAUGCAAAUGAUAGAAGAUCCACAAUAGGAUACGUGUUCUUCAUUGGAGUGGGAGCCAUUUCAUGGAAUUACAAAAGACAACCUAUCAUUGCAAGAUCAAUGAUGGAGUCACAGUACAUGGCAACAAGUCAUUGUACAAUGGAGGUUGGUUGGAUAAAGCAACUGUUAGAAGACAUUGGUCUAGUGCCAUUAGAAGUAACUCUCAUUAUGUGUGACAAUCAAGGAUGUCUUGCAUUUGCCAAAAAUCCAAAACACCACUCAAGGACCAAGCACAUUGAUGUUCAACAUCAUUUCAUACGAGAAAAGAUUGAAGAUGGAAUAAUAGGUAUGAAGUAUUGUGCUACAAAUGACAUGCUUGCUGAUGUGCUUACAAAGGUAUUAGUGAAGGAUAGACAUCAUGACUUGAUUCAGAGAUUAGGAUUAAAAGCCUUUUGAAUAUUAGCAAAGUGGGAGUAUUGAAGAUCAACAAGUACUUGCUUAGUUACAACCACAUAGAGUUUAAGCAUAGUAUGUUGCUAAUAGUAAAAAGACAGUAAAGAAUUAAAGUAAGUUAUUGUGGUGGCACUAAGGGUUUAGUUGGAUGAAGUAGAAAUGGAUAUAAUAUCAAAUGAAUGGAAGUUGCCUUGUUGGUGAGCAAACCACCACCUAUAAGUAAAGAGUGUUGGAAGUAAGAAUUAUCUUUCUCCACACUUCUCUUAGACUACAAUCUUUAUUGAUGCUAAGUGUUUGUAGCUUUUAGACUUCUUUUCUUCAAUAAUAAUGACAUAUUAAUGGUUUAUAAGAAUUUUUUUGAUUAACAUCUUGUGUUCUAUAUAAUUUAUUUAUUUUUUAAAAAUAUAUAUAUAAUUAAUUAAAAAUUUAUUUUAUUUCCAAUUAUUUUUUUAUGUUGACUUCUUUCCAAAAAAGCUCUUGACUUAGAUAAUACAUUCAAACUUUGCUUAGAAUCUUCAUUUCUUUAUAUCGAGACUUCUUCUAAACUUCUUAAAAUCAAAUUAGAUAGAGUUUUAUUUGUAUUGGAAUCUUGUGGUGUAACAAAAGUCCUUCAAAAAGAAACAAGAGUUCGUAAUAAUUGUACAUAUUGUUGUUCUUUAGAAAUAAUAAGUCUUGAUAUUGAAACUUCAUCAAGAAUUCCUUGAAAUUCUUCAAUAAACUCUACUAGGGGUGUUUCUUUAUUGAUAGCUAAUUCAGAUAAUAUCUUUUGUGUUGUGACUUGUAAUGCAAGAUUAAUUUGUUUAUACCCAGAUCCUAACUUAUCUCAUAUUUCUUAAGAAAUUUUAAGAGCUUUUACCAAAAUGACUUGUUUAUCACGACAAUGUUAUAGAAUAUUUGCUCUUGCUUUAGCAUCUUUAAUUUCCAUGCAUUUUGUGAUACAAUGUUUGCAAGACCAGGAUCGAGUUUUGUUGAAUUUACAACAAAGAAAAGGUCCUUUAAAACAAAACUCAUUUCCAUUUUAACACUCCAUAAAUUGUAACUCGUAGAUGAUAAUUUUCUACCAAAUAUGUUUUAUGAAUUGAAUUUGAAUAAGCAAUAAUUGAUUACUUUUUUGUUGGAAAAAUAAUCAAUAUAUGAUAUGGACAUUUGUCCUUUCACCGCCACCACCAGUUCCCUCUGCCCCCUGGGCUUCAAGGAGAACCCCAAUGGAACCUCAAAAUCAGAUCACUCCAAUUCCUCACAGCAUGCAUGCAUGUAGAUACAGGCCGAAUGUGAUCUCGAGAGAUGGAAACAGGAGAAUGCCCAUCUUCGACAGUAUGCUCUCGAAGCACGAGUUGCUGAUCAAGUGGGGCGGCGUCCCACUUUCUGCAUGCAGCUUUUCCACCACUGUGGCUGUUCUUUGUAGCACCAACAUGCCCGAUCCAAAGUACUCGCCUUAGUCUGCAACAACCAACCGCUUGAACGUGUUUAGCACCGAAAGGUGCAAGUUGUAUUGUGACAUCUCUUGCUCAGCAAAUUUCCCGCCCCCGAGCCCUUCUGCGGCGUCGUAGCCACCACCUGGCACCCGAAGCUCGUCCACCUGGACCUCCUGUCCGCAAUCAGGUACCGGGUUUCGAAGUAAAACUCCACAACGAAUUGGCCCGGAUUUCUCUGCAGCUCUGCCUCCAGGACCGGCCCCAGCUGUUGCCGCAGCGAGGCUUGCUCCCCCUUCACCCUCACCACCAGUCCCCUCUUCCCCCUCGGCUUCAAGGAGAACCCCAGUUGAACUUCUUGUCUCAGAAUCAGAUCACCCCUGUACCUCACAGCCACAACUAAUUCUCGAAACGUGGUGAAGCACCCUGCCACCGUGUUCGGACUCCAAGUCGAGAGCGUCAGGUUGAAGUCACUGCUAACCAGCCACGGCGAGUCGGGGGAGUCCGCGGUGGUAUUUUGGUAGACGGCCAUGUCUCGAAUGCUCGCAGUCACCAGCGAUAAACCCGGUGGUCGGUGGCAGGGUGCUGAAAUGGAGAUAAUCGACAUAACGACCGCAAAAACUACGCAGCUUGUCACAAAUAAGCAAGUGGAUGAGCACGUUUCCCUCAAGAAACUUGUCAUGCACUCGUGACAUCGUCUAUGGAUCGGCACAGGGAGGUCGAUGUAUACCAUAUAAGUUUGGUCCCCUUCACAAGUCUGUGUUGUUGCAACUAUCUCCGGAGACUGCAUAGUGCAAAGAAUGCUCAGAACUCUACAAAGUGUGCGAAAAUUGGUUCCAAAAUCAUGGUAGCACAGGCCUGCCCGUGUUACCCAUUCACCAUAGCAAGCAACUCGGAGGCAGAGUAUAUUUCAAUGUGUGCUCGACUCACAAGCUUGUACGGGAAAUCGCCCAUUUCCAAGGUGCACAGUCGGCUGCUGGGAUACAGUCGGUGCCAACUGUUGUUGACAAACGCGACGAAGAAGCAUCAGAUUCGGCAAUUAGAAUCUUAGCAGCUUUUGUGCAAGUUUCCUGCUCCCAGAAUUAUGGAGAUAAGUGACCUUGCUUCAGUCGGGAUCAUUUGAUUGUCGACAGCUUGGAGAUGCUCUUUUUUUGUCAUUUGCCCCCUUUUCCAGGCUGCAUGAAAGUGGAGCAGCACAGUUUAGUGUGCUCGAGUUGUGGAUAAGAUCACCAUUUCGGCAAAUCCCAGUAAUUUUUUACUAGUUGUGCAGACUGGGUAAGUCAGCUUCGGCACCAUCCUUCAAGUAUGCCGAAAACGUCUCCGGUGUGUGGCAAGUCAGCGCCGGGUUUGAUUGGCGCAUGAGAGAAGGAGCAAACACAUCAAGCGUAUGAUUUAUAAUUGAUGACAUUGGUUAUUGGUCACGUUUCUGGCCGAAAAGUUUCCUCUUCAGUGUCACCAGUCAUUGCAAUGCAUGAAGAGAGAUUGAAAGUACUUGAGCUGUGUAAAGUAUCACCAUUUCGGCAAAUGCCGACGGUUUCUUGCUGUUUGUGCAGACUCAAUAAGUGGGCCUGGACAUUUAAUCUUCUUAAGUUUUCACCGUUUUCCUGCUCUUAACUCAAUCGUGAUCUUACAUCUGAGGUUUCUAUGACCUCAAUCAUAUGUUUUCUUUGACCUACUUUUGCUCUCGUAUUGUACUUCGUCCAAGCAACUAAACUAACUUUGCUUUGCAGCCUUUGACUUUAUUCUUUGUCAACUUGUGCUUCAACUUUAUGAUAUCAAAUUUGGUCUUCCAACUAUAACCUAACGAUUGUGACCUUUGUCAAACCUAAGGAGUACAACUUGAGCUUGUUUUUGUACUUUUGGAGCUAUUUCUCAAGUUUGUUUAUUUCCUUUAUUGUAAAUAUUGCAUGCUUUAUGUUUUUUUUCAUUUUCUAAGUUGUAAUUGAAGUCAACUGAUUCUCAUUUGAAGUUCCAAGUUCAAAAUUUUGUAUUUAUAUAUUAUCACCAAGAAGUAGCUAUUUUUUUUUAUUUAAAAUACUUGAAUUGAAAUUCAAGAUAAUUCUAACUUUUGAUAAUUACUUUUUUAAAAAUUUAAUAAAUUUUUCCAAUAUAUGUUUGGUAAUUUGGACACAAUUACAAAUAAUUUUUUUUCUUGAUGCCUAUGAAUAAUUUACCUCUUGUUAGUUAAUAGGUAUUUUGUAGUGAUUUAUAUUCAAUUAGAAUAGUAUUUUUUUCAUUUUGGAAAUAAAAAUAAUUAAUAUUGCAGUUGAAUCUUUUUGUGGUUAUAUUCUUUUAGAUUUUGGUAGAAUCUACUUCUUUAUACAUGUCUCUUUUAUUUGAAUACUAUAUACUUCUUAAGUUUUUUAUUUAUUUUUUUAUUUUUUUUAAUAAAAUAAUCAUUUUUAUAAGAUUAAUAUUUGAUGCCUAUUAUUUAGAAUUUUAAUUAAGUUGUAGAAAAAUUGUCUUGAAACUAUCUAAUUUAACUUUAUUGUGUUUUGUGAAGCUUGCUUGAAAAUGCUCCAAGCACUUGAUUGUAGAAGGUAAAAUAGAAUUUGUAAUAAUAAGAUUUUAAUAACUCUAACAAAAUCCUAAACAAACUCUAACUAAAUUGUAAUAAUGCUAAUCAAAAUUCAAAAGAAGUUUCAAAGAAAUCUCAAAAGAAACAUAAAAAAAAUCAUAAAAUAACCUUAAAGAAAUAUAUUUAACAAAAAAUCCUAAAGAAAUAUUAAAGAAAUCUUUAAAAAAUAUUAAAAAUAGAAACCUUAAAUGAAUAUUAAUCAAAUCUUAAUGUAACUUUUAAUAAAUCCUAAAGAAAUUCUAAACCAAUCUUAACCAAAUACAAAAAUAUUCCUAAUGAAAUUCUAAACAAAUCCUAAUAAAAUCCUAAACAAAUCCUAAUCAAAUCCUAAUCAAAUCCUAAAUAAAUCCUAACCAAAUCCUAAUCAAAUCCUAAUCAAAUCCUAAAUAAAUCCUAACCAAAUCCUAAUCAAAUCCUAACCAAAUCCUAAAUUAAUCCUAAUCAAAUCCUAACCAAAUCCUAAUCAAAUCCUAAAUAAAUCCUAACCAUAUCCUAAUCAAAUCCUAACCAAAUCCUAACCAAAUCCUAAAUAAAUCCUAACCAAAUCCUAAUCAAAUCCUAACCAAAUCCCAAACAAAUCCUAAACAAAUUCAAAAAAAUCCUAAAUAAAUCUUAUACAAUUAUUAUAGUAGUUUAAAAAUACUAAUAAAUGUUACUUAAAUCUUUGAUUAUAAUUUAAAUUUUACUCACAUCUUAGUCCACAAGGAAUGAACAAGAAUAUAAAAUUUGAAGAAAAUCAAGUCACUAAUUUGAAAGAAAAAGCUCCUAAAUUGUUUGGAUGUUAGAUGCCCUCAUUUUCUAAUCCAAAUGUUGAUAUUUCAACAAUAAUUUUUCCAUGUUGAACCAUACAAUUUCUUCAAAAAUUUGCUAGUAUGUAGAAUUCUAAGUCCAAAUAGUUGUCACUUAUAUUUACUUCAAUCAAAGUAGCAAAUAUCACAAUAUUACAAAAAUCCUCACUGAUCCAAAAUUUCAAUUAUUUCAGACCAAACUCAUAAAAAUUCUUAUAAUUGUCAAUCUAAUCAUUAGAUUAACAUCAAAUUUUUCAAAUACAUUCAAGAUAAAUAUAAUGAAAAUUUGACAAAAUUGCACAUAUAAAUAUGCUAUGACAUUCACAAAAUUUGUAAAAUUUUGAAUUUUUUUACAUUUCUCAAAAUCCAAAUCCAUUGAAUUUAUCUCACUUUAAAAAGCCUUCAAAACCUCAAUAUGUCUUUAAAUCACAUGAAAUAAACUUUUAAAAAAUUUCUCACAAGUUUGCUCUCAAAUCCCACUCUUCAAUCAACCAAAGAACCCCGGAGUCACCAUAAGUGUAUAAUUUUGUUUCUUAGGAUUUGAUUUCGACCUUGAUUUAUAAUUGGUCUUCUCCAUAUAUCAAUUCUUGGUAUUUUGAGGUAUGUUUUGCUAAAAUCUAUUCUUAAUUCCUUUCUAAAGAUGCUAAUAUUAAUUAUCUAUCUCAUUUACUUUGAUUUGGCUCAUUUAUGCCCCUUCAAAGUAACUAGAAGUCUUUUCUUAAAGAAGCAGCAUUAGCACCUAUUAAUUUUUACUACCUCUUUGUCUAUUAUCUAUAUUUUUAAGAAAAUUUUCCAAAUUAUUUUUAUUUAAGCUCAUCUAAAAUAAAAUAUUUUUUUUUCUCUUUCACCUAAUGAUUGUGUUAUUAUAAAAUAAAAUUUAAUCAUAAAAAACCAUUGUCAAAGUUAUAAGUUCAUAAUGUCUAUUUUAUUUAUUAUCUUAUUUGAUACAAUAAAGAUUGUUGUAAAUUAUUUCUUUAAGAUUGCAUAAUAAAAUAUGAUAAGAGUUUUUUCAAAUAGUACUAAUUUUAUUUGAAAAUGGUACCAAUAGAGCCAAAUUGUGAUGUUAGAGUUUUUAUUUUAUUUUUUUAUUUUAGUAUAGAAGAAAUAUUAGUUAUUAAUUGUUUUUUAUAUUUUUAAAAAUAAUCAUAUUAUUGGAAGUGCUUACAAUAUCAUAUUUUAUAUUUUAUAUUUUUUAAUUUCGAAUUUAGGCAAAAUUUUAGGUAUUAAUUGUCAUGAUAAUUAAAAAUUAGUGGUAAAAUAUAAAAUUUCUUUGAAUCUUAAUAAAUAACUUGUUUUUUGUUUAUUUAUUUUAUUUAAUUUUUAUUUAUUUAUGAUUAUUUGUGCCAUAUAUGUUGUAAAAUGAUCCAUUAUUUGCUUGCCUUACCAAUAAGAAGAAAUCAUAGGCUACUUCGUUGUUAUAGUUACAUCCUUGGCUUUCAACAUUGCUCACUAUUAAUAAUAGUUUAGAUCUGUCAACAUCUUAUUUGUCUUUUUAAAGUAAAAACAUGUUCUUUUUUAUUUAUUACAAAUCAAAUCACAAUAAAUUUGAUAUCAAUUAUUAAUUACAUCAAAAAAUAAACAUGAAAAACUAUUAGAGGCUUUUUAGAAGCCUUUCCAAAAAAUGAUAAGAUACAAACUGAAGCACAAAGAACUUUAAAUGUGACCAAAAAAAAAAAUCAAAGGUUUUGUUUUUUAAAAAAUGGAAAAUUUCUAAGAGAAUAAACCAGCAUAACAAGAUAAAUUGAUUUACAGGGCACCAAAUAAUUUACAGUAAAGCUUCUUACAUUAUUUAUAAAAGAUGCUGACAACCAUCAAUGACAAAGGAUUUCUAAUAUGAUUAUCAUAAAAAACCAUAGGUUAUAUAUUUUUUAAAAUUGCAGAUUUUCAAGAAAUUAAUUGAAGACAGAAAGCGUAUUUAAUUGUGUGUUAUACCUUGAGCUUGUGGAUUGCAAAGUUUCAAAAUUUGAAUUAUAUAUAGAAUUAAAAAAUAACAAAUGUUCUUAAACAAUAAUUAAAUUCUUUAGAAAAUUUACAAUCUGUCUUAAUAAAACUUUAAGUCCCAACAUUUAAAACCAAUUUUUCAAUAUCUAGCAAAAUUAUCAAAAUACAAUUAAUUAAAAAUCAUAUUUGAAUUUUGAGAUUGGUGAUUUUUUCACAAAUAAAGUUUUUACAAAGUAAUUUUUGAAUCUAUUAUAAAAAAUACUAUACAACUAACUUAUUUAUAGUAACUUAAUAAAAUAGAUAGUAAUAGAUUUUAUACAUUAAAUUUUUUUGAGGUUUAAUAAACCAAAAUGGUUAUUUUUAUAUUCAAAUGAAUAACAAACCAACUCUGUAGGAUUAAUAACAUGUAUAGUGUUAUUCAUGUUGAUUCUAGAAUGUAUAAAAAAAAUUGAUUGAUUGCUUGAUACCAAUCAAGUAUUGCAACUUAUGACAAAAUAUUAUAUAUGAAAUAUAUAUAUAUAUAUAUAUAUAUAUAUAUAUAUAUAUAUAAGAAAAUACUUGUUAUAUUUAAUUUCUAUUUUUUUUUUUUUUUUUUUUUUUUUUUUGCUUUUAUUCAAUCUAAAGCCAAAAAAAUUAUGAUUUUUGGUUCCUUGACAUCUUCUUAGAAACAAAACAAUCUUCAUAUGAUUGUAUAAAUAAAUUACUACCAAGUUAAAUUCUCUUCAAUUAUAAUUAAACUCUUUAAUUUUGAAACUUAAAAAACCAAUGAUAUGAAAUUAUAUGUGGCUUAUAGGUAUCUACACAUUAAAAACCAUUAAUAUGUCAUUAUUAUUGAAGAAAAGAAGUCUAAAAGCUACAAACACUUAGCAUCAAUAAAGAUUGUAGUCUAAGAGAAGUGUGGAGAAAGAUAAUUCUUACUUCCAACACUCUUUACUUAUAGGUGGUGGUUUGCUCACCAACAAGGCAACUUCCAUUCAUUUGAUAUUAUAUCCAUUUCUACUUCAUCCAACUAAACCCUUAGUGCCACCACAAUAACUUACUUUAAUUCUUUACUGUCUUUUUACUAUUAGCAACAUACUAUGCUUAAACUCUAUGUGGUUGUAACUAAGCAAGUACUUGUUGAUCUUCAAUACUCCUACUUUGCUAAUAUUCAAAAGGCUUUUAAUCCUAAUCUCUAAAUCAAGUCAUGAUGUCUAUCCUUCACUAAUACCUUUGUAAGCACAUCAGCAAGCAUGUCAUUUGUAGCACAAUACUUCAUACCUAUUAUUCCAUCUUCAAUCUUCUCUCGUAUGAAAUGAUGUUGAACAUCAAUGUGCUUGGUCCUUGAGUGGUGUUUUGGAUUUUUGGCAAAUGCAAGACAUCCUUGAUUGUCACACAUAAUGAGAGUUACUUCUAAUGGCACUAGACCAAUGUCUUCUAACAGUUGCUUUAUCCAACCAACCUCCAUUGUACAAUGACUUGUUGCCAUGUACUGUGACUCCAUCAUUGAUCUUGCAAUGAUAGGUUGUCUUUUGUAAUUCCAUGAAAUGGCUCCCACUCCAAUGAAGAACACGUAUCCUAUUGUGGAUCUUCUAUCAUUUGCAUUUCCAGCUUAAUCCGCAUCUUAAUAACCUUGCAAGUCAAUGUUCUUAUGACUAAAGCACAAUUUGAAGUCUUUUGUACCUUUUAAGUACCUUAAUAUCUUCUUUUUCAUUUUUUAAUGCAUUGGUCUAACUUUAAAUAUGUUUUGGCUUAAACACUUACCGCAUAUGGAAGAUCCAACAAAAUUGAUGAAGUUGAUAUUGGUAUUAAUCUAAUAAAAAUUUAAUUUUUUUACAAAAUAAAUAAAUAUUAGAAAUAUAUAUAUAUAUAUAUAUAUAUAUAUAUAUAUAUAUAUAUAUGUCUUAUUCUAUUAUAUAUAAAUUAUGGCAAAUUAUCAGAUUGUCUAUCAAGUUAUCAAUUAAAUUUUUCUAAGUUUCUUUUUAUUUUUGUUUAUAGUACCUUUUAAUGUGUAGAUACCUAUAAGCCACAUAUAAUUUCAUAUCAUUGGUUUUUUAAGUUUCAAAAUUAAAGAGUUUAAUUAUAAUUGAAGAGAAUUUAACUUGGUAGUAAUUUAUUUAUACAAUCAUAUGAAGAUUGUUUUGUUUCUAAGAAGAUGUCAAGGAACCAAAAAUCAUAAUUUUUUUGGCUUUAGAUUGAAUAAAAGCAAAAAAAAAAAUAAAAAAAAAUAAAAAAAUAGAAAUUAAAUAUAACAAGUAUUUUCUUAUAUAUAUAUAUAUAUAUAUAUAUAUUUCAUAUAUAAUAUUUUGUCAUAAGUUGCAAUACUUGAUUGGUAUCAAGCAAUCAAUCAAUUUUUUUUAUACAUUCUAGAAUCAACAUGAAUAACACUAUACAUGUUAUUAAUCCUACAGAGUUGGUUUGUUAUUCAUUUGAAUAUAAAAAUAACCAUUUUGGUUUAUUAAACCUCAAAAAAAUUUAAUGUAUAAAAUCUAUUACUAUCUAUUUUAUUAAGUUACUAUAAAUAAGUUAGUUGUAUAGUAUUUUUUAUAAUAGAUUCAAAAAUUACUUUGUAAAAACUUUAUUUGUGAAAAAAUCACCAAUCUCAAAAUUCAAAUAUGAUUUUUAAUUAAUUGUAUUUUGAUAAUUUUGCUAGAUAUUGAAAAAUUGGUUUUAAAUGUUGGGACUUAAAGUUUUAUUAAGACAGAUUGUAAAUUUUCUAAAGAAUUUAAUUAUUGUUUAAGAACAUUUGUUAUUUUUUAAUUCUAUAUAUAAUUCAAAUUUUGAAACUUUGCAAUCCACAAGCUCAAGGUAUAACACACAAUUAAAUACGCUUUCUGUCUUCAAUUAAUUUCUUGAAAAUCUGCAAUUUUAAAAAAUAUAUAACCUAUGGUUUUUUAUGAUAAUCAUAUUAGAAAUCCUUUGUCAUUGAUGGUUGUCAGCAUCUUUUAUAAAUAAUGUAAGAAGCUUUACUGUAAAUUAUUUGGUGCCCUGUAAAUCAAUUUAUCUUGUUAUGCUGGUUUAUUCUCUUAGAAAUUUUCCAUUUUUUAAAAAACAAAACCUUUGAUUUUUUUUUUUGGUCACAUUUAAAGUUCUUUGUGCUUCAGUUUGUAUCUUAUCAUUUUUUGGAAAGGCUUCUAAAAAGCCUCUAAUAGUUUUUCAUGUUUAUUUUUUGAUGUAAUUAAUAAUUGAUAUCAAAUUUAUUGUGAUUUGAUUUGUAAUAAAUAAAAAAGAACAUGUUUUUACUUUAAAAAGACAAAUAAGAUGUUGACAGAUCUAAACUAUUAUUAAUAGUGAGCAAUGUUGAAAGCCAAGGAUGUAACUAUAACAACGAAGUAGCCUAUGAUUUCUUCUUAUUGGUAAGGCAAGCAAAUAAUGGAUCAUUUUACAACAUAUAUGGCACAAAUAAUCAUAAAUAAAUAAAAAUUAAAUAAAAUAAAUAAACAAAAAACAAGUUAUUUAUUAAGAUUCAAAGAAAUUUUAUAUUUUACCACUAAUUUUUAAUUAUCAUGACAAUUAAUACCUAAAAUUUUGCCUAAAUUCGAAAUUAAAAAAUAUAAAAUAUAAAAUAUGAUAUUGUAAGCACUUCCAAUAAUAUGAUUAUUUUUAAAAAUAUAAAAAACAAUUAAUAACUAAUAUUUCUUCUAUACUAAAAUAAAAAAAUAAAAUAAAAACUCUAACAUCACAAUUUGGCUCUAUUGGUACCAUUUUCAAAUAAAAUUAGUACUAUUUGAAAAAACUCUUAUCAUAUUUUAUUAUGCAAUCUUAAAGAAAUAAUUUACAACAAUCUUUAUUGUAUCAAAUAAGAUAAUAAAUAAAAUAGACAUUAUGAACUUAUAACUUUGACAAUGGUUUUUUAUGAUUAAAUUUUAUUUUAUAAUAACACAAUCAUUAGGUGAAAGAGAAAAAAAAAUAUUUUAUUUUAGAUGAGCUUAAAUAAAAAUAAUUUGGAAAAUUUUCUUAAAAAUAUAGAUAAUAGACAAAGAGGUAGUAAAAAUUAAUAGGUGCUAAUGCUGCUUCUUUAAGAAAAGACUUCUAGUUACUUUGAAGGGGCAUAAAUGAGCCAAAUCAAAGUAAAUGAGAUAGAUAAUUAAUAUUAGCAUCUUUAGAAAGGAAUUAAGAAUAGAUUUUAGCAAAACAUACCUCAAAAUACCAAGAAUUGAUAUAUGGAGAAGACCAAUUAUAAAUCAAGGUCGAAAUCAAAUCCUAAGAAACAAAAUUAUACACUUAUGGUGACUCCGGGGUUCUUUGGUUGAUUGAAGAGUGGGAUUUGAGAGCAAACUUGUGAGAAAUUUUUUAAAAGUUUAUUUCAUGUGAUUUAAAGACAUAUUGAGGUUUUGAAGGCUUUUUAAAGUGAGAUAAAUUCAAUGGAUUUGGAUUUUGAGAAAUGUAAAAAAAUUCAAAAUUUUACAAAUUUUGUGAAUGUCAUAGCAUAUUUAUAUGUGCAAUUUUGUCAAAUUUUCAUUAUAUUUAUCUUGAAUGUAUUUGAAAAAUUUGAUGUUAAUCUAAUGAUUAGAUUGACAAUUAUAAGAAUUUUUAUGAGUUUGGUCUGAAAUAAUUGAAAUUUUGGAUCAGUGAGGAUUUUUGUAAUAUUGUGAUAUUUGCUACUUUGAUUGAAGUAAAUAUAAGUGACAACUAUUUGGACUUAGAAUUCUACAUACUAGCAAAUUUUUGAAGAAAUUGUAUGGUUCAACAUGGAAAAAUUAUUGUUGAAAUAUCAACAUUUGGAUUAGAAAAUGAGGGCAUCUAACAUCCAAACAAUUUAGGAGCUUUUUCUUUCAAAUUAGUGACUUGAUUUUCUUCAAAUUUUAUAUUCUUGUUCAUUCCUUGUGGACUAAGAUGUGAGUAAAAUUUAAAUUAUAAUCAAAGAUUUAAGUAACAUUUAUUAGUAUUUUUAAACUACUAUAAUAAUUGUAUAAGAUUUAUUUAGGAUUUUUUUGAAUUUGUUUAGGAUUUGUUUGGGAUUUGGUUAGGAUUUGAUUAGGAUUUGGUUAGGAUUUAUUUAGGAUUUGGUUAGGAUUUGGUUAGGAUUUGAUUAGGAUAUGGUUAGGAUUUAUUUAGGAUUUGAUUAGGAUUUGGUUAGGAUUUGAUUAGGAUUAAUUUAGGAUUUGGUUAGGAUUUGAUUAGGAUUUGGUUAGGAUUUAUUUAGGAUUUGAUUAGGAUUUGAUUAGGAUUUGGUUAGGAUUUAUUUAGGAUUUGAUUAGGAUUUGAUUAGGAUUUGUUUAGGAUUUUAUUAGGAUUUGUUUAGAAUUUCAUUAGGAAUAUUUUUGUAUUUGGUUAAGAUUGGUUUAGAAUUUCUUUAGGAUUUAUUAAAAGUUACAUUAAGAUUUGAUUAAUAUUCAUUUAAGGUUUCUAUUUUUAAUAUUUUUUAAAGAUUUCUUUAAUAUUUCUUUAGGAUUUUUUGUUAAAUAUAUUUCUUUAAGGUUAUUUUAUGAUUUUUUUUAUGUUUCUUUUGAGAUUUCUUUGAAACUUCUUUUGAAUUUUGAUUAGCAUUAUUACAAUUUAGUUAGAGUUUGUUUAGGAUUUUGUUAGAGUUAUUAAAAUCUUAUUAUUACAAAUUCUA